AUGGAUCUGUACUUUGUUGAAAUAGAGGGGAGUGAAGUGAUUGCACCAAAAUCUGGCUGGACUCUGGAGCUGAGCAAGAACCACAUAGUAGUGGUCUCUCAAACAGAGCCCACCCUGACACUGUGUGAUCUCACUUUGCAACACCACACAGAGCAUUUGCACCUUUUUCCCCCCAACAUUUGCAGGUAGGUAGGUCAGCAGGUCUCAAUUCUCUUCUGUUCACUGUUGGAGGUCUUGCAAUGUAGAUGGGUGGAAAACCUGCACAUGCCAUUACCGUCCCCAAACAAGGUGUGAGUGAAGGAUCUAGGGCCUACGUAGUGGGCACUGUAGGAGGGAAAAGCACAUCACAGGAAACCCAGUCAUGAAGACAACAUUUUUGGAAGCUUACUGUGGCUUUGAGAUGGAGAACACCAACACAACAAUGUGCAGAGUUUUGAUGGAUUUUUGAAUGUGCAGUUGCCUAGUGAAGUUGUAGAUGCCCCAUCCCUGGAGUUGCUCAAGGCCUGGCUGGAUUGGGCCAUGAGCAGCCUGAGCUGGUGCCUGUGUAGUGGUUGGAAACCCUGCCCGUGGAAGGGGGUUUGGAACUGGGGUAUCUUUGUGGUCCCUUCCAACCCAACCAUUCUGUGAUUCUGUGAAGGGUCUUCCUGCAACACAGGCAGCACUCAGAUGCUCCCCCAGGUUCCUCUUGCUCAAGGGGCAGAGAGCUGCUCUCCCAUGAGCACAAGGGCUCAAGAUGUUGUUCCUGACUUCUGUGUAGCCAUGGAGAAGCAAUGGCCCAUGCAUGGGCACAUCUGGAUCUCCACGUCCGAGGUCCAAAUGCCACCAGGAGCUGCUCCAACCCACGGCCUGGCAGACUCAGGUGCGUGGUGAGAUUAAACACAUGAAAGAAAGACUCAAGGCACUGAAUGCCGCCGUGAUGAGACCCAUCUGACAGAGAGAUCAGUUCGGGCUGCAGAAUGCCUGAGAUUUUUCUACCCAACAGCAGGAUAAUUUAUGUCCCCCUCAAAAGACUUGGAGAACAUUUUUAGGAAAUGCAAACGUGUUGAUUUUUUUGCUACCCGUUUCUCUCCCUUCCUCAAAUAAACUCUGCUUUCCUGCACA
rnacentral:lncRNA from 1 species